AUACGGAGGGUGCAAGCGUUGUUCGGAAUCACUGGGCGUAAAGGGCGCGCAGGCGGUUUGAUUAGUCAGAUGUGAAAGCCCACGGCUUAACCGUGGAAGUGCAUUUGAAACUGUCAGACUUGAGUAUCAGAGGGGAAAGUGGAAUUCCCGGUGUAGAGGUAAAAUUCGUAGAUAUCGGGAGGAAUACCGGUGGCGAAGGCGACUUUCUGGCUAGAUACUGACGCUGAGGCGCGAAAGCGUGGGGAGCAAACAGGAUUAGAAACCCCAGUAGUCC
rnacentral:rRNA from 1 species